GGAACGUGUCUACCGACUCUUCCAAGCUCUUAACGCGCACGGGUUGAUUUGCUCGUAUCUCCCAAGCCACCGGGACCCGUUUAAGUUGAAUUAUUGAUUGGCACUCAAUGCUAAUCCAAAAGUAAAUGAGAAACUUAGAGAAAGAUUGCCAAUCCCAAAUCAACACACUUACAGAGAAUUGGAAAAGAAGAAGAUUUACGGCUUCAUUUGAGGACUUUUGUAAAGAACUCGGGUUCCAAUAUGAGCUCUAAAAUCUUGGAGCGAGAGCUGGCGGCAGUGCCAGAUCAAACAAGUUCAGGAGGACGACUGGAGGACUGGUUAAAAGAUCCGCCCCGCUGCCACCCGAAAGUAGAGAUUCCACAGGAAAAGCAAAAUCCUCAUCUGGCCCGAACGUGGAAAGCCGCUCCAGCCACGUGACGAACCUGUGGGCCCGGCAGAGUGUGAGAACGAGAGCCUGAGGGUACUAAGUCCGAGGAGCCUCCCGCCUGUGGGGGCGGAGCGGGCCCCUCUCGAUGACAUCGAGGACUGUCGUGUUCCUGAAGGACCCAGAGGAACGACAUAUGGAGGCAGUAGUUGGGUAUAUGAUUUUAUGGAUCCUCUCAGGUUACAGCAGCCCGAGAUAAAGAGAAGACUGUCGCACUCCUAAAAGAAAUGGACAUUCUCAAGAGCAAGCA